rnacentral:rRNA from 1 species
UACGUAGGUCCCGAGCGUUGUCCGGAUUUAUUGGGCGUAAAGCGAGCGCAGGUGGUUUAUUAAGUCUGGUGUAAAAGGCAGUGGCUCAACCAUUGUAUGCAUUGGAAACUGGUAGACUUGAGUGCGGGAGAGGAGAGUGGAAUUCCAUGUGUAGCGGUGAAAUGCGUAGAUAUAUGGAGGAACACCGGUGGCGAAAGCGGCUCUCUGGCCUGUAACUGACACUGAGGCUCGAAAGCGUGGGGAGCAGACAGG